rnacentral:rRNA from 1 species
UACGUAGGGUGCAAGCGUUGUCCGGAAUUAUUGGGCGUAAAGAGCUCGUAGGUGGCUUGUCACGUCGGGUGUGAAAGCUUGGGGCUUAACUCCAGGUCUGCAUUCGAUACGGGCUGGCUAGAGGUAGGUAGGGGAGAACGGAAUUCCUGGUGUAGCGGUGAAAUGCGCAGAUAUCAGGAGGAACACCGGUGGCGAAGGCGGGUCUCUGGGCCGUAACUGACGCUGAGACACGAAAGCGUGGGUAGCAAACAGG